rnacentral:rRNA from 1 species
UACGUAGGGUGCGAGCGUUAAUCGGAAUUACUGGGCGUAAAGCGUGCGCAGGUGGUUGCGUAAGUCAGAUGUGAAAUCCCCGGGCUUAACCUGGGAAUGGCAUUUGAGACUGCGCAGCUAGAGUACGGCAGAGGGAGGUGGAAUUCCACGUGUAGCAGUGAAAUGCGUAGAUAUGUGGAGGAACACCGAUGGCGAAGGCAGCCUCCUGGGCCAGUACUGACGCUCAUGCACGAAAGCGUGGGGAGCAAACAGG